CUACGGGGGUCCAGUGAGGAAUAUUGCACAAUGGGGGGAACCCUGAUGCAGCAACGCCGCGUGGAGGAUGACGCAUUUCGGUGUGUAAACUCCUUUUAUAUGUCAAGAAAAUGACGGUAGCAUAUGAAUAAGCACCGGCUAACUCCGUGCCAGCAGCCGCGGUAAUACGGAGGGUGCAAGCGUUACUCGGAAUCACUGGGCGUAAAGGACGCGUAGGCGGGUUGGAAAGUCAGGUGUGAAAUCCUACAGCUUAACUGUAGAAAUGCACUUGAAACUGCUAAUCUAGAGUAUGGGAGGGGGAGAUGGAAUUAGUGGUGUAGGGGUAAAAUCCGUAGAUAUCACUAGGAAUACCUAAAGCGAAGGCGAUCUCCUGGAACAUUACUGACGCUAAGGCGUGAAAGCGUGGGGAGCAAACAGGAUUAGAUACCCCGGUAGUC
rnacentral:rRNA from 1 species